GUAUGUCACAACUGGACAAAUUUUGUAGCAUGAAAAUAGUUGCACUUGACGAAAUGAUAGUCCCCAAAAUCUCUAGCUUGUAUUUGUUGUGACUAGAGAAAAUUAAAACAUUAUUCCUACAAACAAAAACAGAAAACCAUCCAACUAGCCCUAACAAAAAUGAUAACACAGAAACAGAACACCAUCCAACUAACCUAUCAAAAUGAUACUGCUAUCUUCAUGUAGCCCAAUGGUUAAAAUUUGGUUCCAAUUUCAACAUUAUAGAUUUAAGCCAGUGGGAUGAAAGUUGGCGUUUUCAACAACGGAGGAAAGGUUCACUGCCUCUGGUUUUGUGUAGUGUAACCCAACCAUUGGACAAAGAAAAUAAUUGCGAUGACACUGCCCAUGUGAAAUACACAAAACCAACUACAAAAGGUAGCUAUUAUGUAUAAUUUGACUAAGAAUUUUAUCCAAUCUUCAUCUGAAUGUAAAAUGCAACCACUCCAAUUUGACAAAAGCUGACUCAGCCAAAUCAAAUUUUCUGUUGAAUUAUUGAACAUAAUUAAUUGAUUUUGAAGAAGGUGGUAGAGAACUAAAGACUGGAGACCCAAAUAGUGUAGUGCAAUAAAAUAACUGAGAAAAGCGGACACCAGAACUAUUAUUUGUUGCAAAAUCUUGACACUCUGUUAAUUAAUCAAGAAAACAAAAAUAUGAAAUUACUGCCAUUGCAAUGGAACAAGAAAGAGGUCACCUGAGAUAUAAAACUACCACGCAAUGCUUCCAGUUGAUGAAGGAUGAGGUGAUCUGCAAAAUCCCCAUGUCCUAGUUGACCAUAUUUACUCCAUCCAUAAGUGUAUAAUCCACUAGAGAAGAAAACAGAUAUUGUAUGCCGCCAUC
rnacentral:misc_RNA from 1 species